AGAGUUUGAUCCUGGCUCAGAAUGAACGCUGGCGGCGUGCUUAACACAUGCAAGUCGUGCGCGAAGGUGACUUCGGUUGCCGGAGAGCGGCGAACGGGUGAGUAACACGUGGGUGAUCUGCCUGUGAGCGGGGGAUAACCUGGGGAAACUCGGGCUAAUACCGCAUACGUUGAUCUGGUUGCGGCCGGAUCAGGAAAGCUGGCCUCUAUUUAUAAGCUAGCGCUCGCAGAGGAGCCCGCGGCUGAUUAGCUAGUUGGUGAGGUAAUGGCUCACCAAGGCUUCGAUCAGUAGCCGGCCUGAGAGGGUGAUCGGCCACACUGGGACUGAGACACGGCCCAGACUCCUACGGGAGGCAGCAGUGGGGAAUAUUGGACAAUGGGCGCAAGCCUGAUCCAGCAACGCCGCGUGGAGGACGAAGGUCUUCGGAUCGUAAACUCCUGUCAGGCGGGACGAAGGUUGCGGGGCAAACAGUCCUGCAGCUUGACGGUACUGCCAGAGGAAGCCCCGGCUAACUCCGUGCCAGCAGCCGCGGUAAUACGGAGGGGGCGAGCGUUAUUCGGAAUUAUUGGGCGUAAAGGGCGCGUAGGCGGCCCGGUAAGUCAAAGGUGAAAUCCCUCGGCUCAACUGAGGAACUGCCUUUGAAACUGCCGGGCUUGAGGCCGGGAGGGGGUAGCGGAAUUCCCAGUGUAGCGGUGAAAUGCGUAGAUAUUGGGAGGAACACCGGUGGCGAAAGGCGGCUACCUGGACCGGUUCUGACGCUGAUGCGCGAAAGCGUGGGUAGCAAACAGGAUUAGAUACCCUGGUAGUCCACGCUGUAAACGAUGAGUGCUCGGUGUCGCGGGUAUCGACCCCUGCGGUGCCUUAGCUAACGCGUUAAGCACUCCGCCUGGGGAGUACGGUCCGCAAGGCUGAAACUCAAAGGAAUUGACGGGGGCCGCA
rnacentral:rRNA from 1 species